CCCAAUCGCGAGUUCCGACCACCACCACACGGUCGACACCAACCUCGCCGUCGAGAACACUACCAUCAUCCUGCAAAUUCCUAGAUUCCGGAGCCACUUAUUACUGAGAAAGUUUGGAAAUUGAAAGAUUUUGAAUCAUAUCCUGCUUGCUUACUGAAGUUAGGACCUGUAUGCAAUGCAAGAAUGAGAACCGAGGCCUUCUG